rnacentral:rRNA from 1 species
AUACGUAGGUGGCAAGCGUUGUCCGGAAUUAUUGGGCGUAAAGCGCGCGCAGGUGGUUCCUUAAGUCUGAUGUGAAAGCCCCCGGCUCAACCGGGGAGGGUCAUUGGAAACUGGGGUACUUGAGUGCAGAAGAGGAUAGUGGAAUUCCAAGUGUAGCGGUGAAAUGCGUAGAGAUUUGGAGGAACACCAGUGGCGAAGGCGACUGUCUGGUCUGUAACUGACACUGAGGCGCGAAAGCGUGGGGAGCAAACAGGAUUAGAUGCCCUGGUAGUCCACGCCGUAAACGAUGAGUGCUAAGUGUUGGGGGGUUUCCGCCCCUCAGUGCUGCAGCUAACGCAUUAAGCACUCCGCCUGGGGAGUACGGUCGCAAGACUGAAACUUAAAGGAAUUGACGGGG